rnacentral:lncRNA from 1 species
UGUUGGUGCUGUACAAGUAGGGGCCAUCCUCUCCUUCUGCUAUCUUCAGCUUCCACAUGCUGAGGUCUUCUCUUUUUCUCUCUUCGUUCAGCUGAUUAUAUCGAAACUCUCCUGUACUGUCCUUCCUGAUGAUCAUGCAAACGAACAAGUAAAACAACCCGCACAAGAAAAUGAUGAAUGAGUUGCCAGUUGCCACAAACCAAAAGUCAUCGAUGAACAAGGUCGCUAUAUAUCCAUGAACUAUGCUUGUUCUCUAAGGUUAUGUCACCAUGUGCAUGCAUAUCGCAUUAUAGAUAUCAAAAUAUAUCCCGCAGCGAUCUUGGUUUAGCAUGGCUAAAGCAUGAACUUAUCACACAGACAUACAGACAGAGAGAGACACCUCUUUUGACUGUGAGGGAUAUGUGAGAGUUGUUGAGAAAAUAAUCAAG